ensembl:lncRNA
GAGUGAUAGCAGAGGAUAUAGGGGAGGUGUCUGCCCUAGGAGGGUUCCACUUGGUUGAACUCAUGGCAUUGAACUUAAAGACUUUGUUGUUCAGUCACUCAGUUGUGUGUGACUCUUUGGGACCCCGUGGAUGGCAGCACAGCAGGAUUCUCUUUUCUUUAUCAUCUGCCAGAGUUUAUUAAAAGUCAUGUCCAUUGAGUGGGUGAUGCUAUCCAGCCAUCUCAUCCUCUGUCACCCCCAUCUCCUCCUGCCCUCAUACUUUCCCAGCAUCAGGGUCUUCUCCAAUGAGUCAGCUCUUUGCGUCAGGUGGCAAAAGUAUUGGAGUUUCAGCAUCAGUCCUUCCAGUGAAUAUUCAGGAUUGAUUUUCUUUAGGAUUGAUUGCCUUGAUCUCCUUGCUGUCCAAGGGGCUGUCAAGACCCUUAUCCAGCAUCACACAUAAAGACUAGGAAAACACUAUCUUCCCCUGUGUGUAUAUGUGUGUGUGUUAGUUGCUCAGUUGUGUCCAACUCUUUUGACCCCAUAGACUACAGCCUGCCAGGCUUCUCUGUCCAUCCAUGGAAUUCUUCAGACAAGAAUACUGGAGUGGGUAGCCACGAUACCACCCUUAUGGAAG